rnacentral:rRNA from 1 species
UUCGGUCUUUGGAGCGAUAUGGAACCACCUGAUCCCAUUCCGAACUCAGAAGUGAAACAUGUCAGCGUCUACGAUACUUCUCGUAUGAGAGGGACAAUGGAUCGAGGCCGGAG